CCUACGGGUGGCAGCAGUGAGGAAUAUUGGUCAAUGGGCGUAAGCCUGAACCAGCCAAGUCGCGUGAGGGAUGAAGGUUCUAUGGAUCGUAAACCUCUUUUAUCAGGGAAUAAAGUGUGGGACGUGUCCUGUUUUGUAUGUACCUUAUGAAUAAGGAUCGGCUAACUCCGUGCCAGCAGCCGCGGUAAUACGGAGGAUCCGAGCGUUAUCCGGAUUUAUUGGGUUUAAAGGGUGCGUAGGCGGCCUUUUAAGUCAGCGGUGAAAGUAUGUGGCUCAACCAUAGAAUGGCCGUUGAAACUGGGAGGCUUGAGUAUGUUUGAGGCAAGCGGAAUGCGUGGUGUAGCGAUGAAAUGCUUAGAUAUCACGCAGAACCCCGAUUGCGAAGGCAGCCUGCCAAGCCAUGACUGACGCUGAUGCACGAAAGCGUGGGGAUCAAACAGGAUUAGAUACCCCUGUAGUC
rnacentral:rRNA from 1 species